UAUAAAAUAGAAAAAGUGUUUGUCAAUUUAUUUAAGUAUUUGUACAAAUUUAAUUAUAUAUGUAAUAAUUACUAAAUUUUUUAUUAUUCAAUAUAUAUUUAUUAUUUCAUAAUAUGCAAAAAAUAUAUAAUACUAAAAAAUAAUUAAUAAUUAAUAUUUAUUCCGCGCAGGGCACGGAUCUUAACCUAGUAUGUGGUAUAAUCAAAUCGUGAACAAAAAGAUAUGGACCUAAUACAUAAAAGUAUUGACUGUAUGAUUGUUAAAGAAAUAUAAUGUAACUAACUUUUAAUUGAAAUUUAAAGUAAGACCAAAAUAUUAUUAGUUAAUAAAAGGGUUCAAACAACUUUUUUAAGUAGAUUUAUUAAAACUCAUUCCCUUUUAAUAGUAUUGAUAAUGACAAAUAUCCUCACUUGUGUUAAAAGAGUAGUGGCAAACUGGCAAUAGCAAGGUGUGGUUGAGGAAGUAAUAAGAGUGUAGAAAAAAAAAGAUUCUUUAUUAUCCAUGUAUUCUCUUAGAUUAUAUUGUUUUUUUAUCUGUCAAUUUUUAGUGUUAUUUAAUCAUAGUUUUUCAUGAUUUUAUAUAUUUUUAAUAUUUUAAGUUAAUUUUUGUUUUGUAUUUUAUAUAAUAUUUGCUAUUUUGGUUUUAAAUAUAUUAUUUUGAUAACAUUAAUCAUUAUUAGCCUAAUUGUUUUUGAAGUUCGUCUUAUAAAAAUAUAAAUUAAUUUGUUUCAGGAUAGGAAUAUAAUUGUUUAAUAUUAUAUAUAUUAUCUAAUGUAAGUAUUUAAUUUAUAUUUUACAACAUAUUUUCAAUGAUGCUUCACCUUUAAUCUUAAAAUUAGUAUUGUAAUAAUUAUUUGGAUUAUAUUUCCUAUAAAAAAACAGGGAAACUGGCUAUUAAUAUUUUAAAAAAGUAGAGAAAUGAGGAGGAAUCUUACCCAGCGUGAAUGAGAGUUUGAGAGAAGAUUCGAUUGGUAUUGAUGUUACAGUUCUGGAGUCAAAAGUGCUCUAUCAGAUUCUUCCUCAUUUCUCUACUUUUUUUUGCUCAUUAAAUGUUUUAUUCUUUAGUAUAUAACGAUGGUCCUUUAAUCACUUUUUAAUUAUCAUGACAUGAAAUAUGACACUAUUUCAAGAGAUUGUCUCAACAGUUAAACGAUUCCACAACAAAUUGAUGACAGAAAACAAGCUUUUGAGUUACUUUGGAAUACUUAGUCCGGAUGUUGCAACAAAUUGAAGGUAUGUGGUGUAAUUUUCAGUUGUCCUAUUUUCAUAUGAAUUGGAUACGUUGGUGUUGACUUGUUUGGCUUAAAUGCUUAAUGGUUUCUAAAUCUUUUUUUUUUAUGUUAUCAGAUCCAUGAUGUCAGCUUUACCGAGUUUCUUUUUACUUGGAGAGAAAAUAGGCAAGACACUGUUCCCGAACCUCUUAUCCAAGAAGAACAUUUAAGUAAUUUAUAUUACUUUUGUGAUCAUUGUUUACGUUUUAAUAUGAUGAUAAUGGUGAUCUUUACUGUUUUUUUUUUUCAGAUACAUGUUUGGCUAUAGCCUUAUUAAGAGGUCAAUCUGCAUUGGUUAGGAUAAAGGGAUCUGAUAGAGCACUUUUGACUCUCGCAAUGCUCCUAGUUGGUGUGGAUUCUCGAUAUCAAUCUGAAUCACACGCAUGGAAGAAAAUUAUGUAAGGAGAAUGAUUGUCCACCACAGGCCAAGGGGAUUCGUUCAAGUUGAGCAAGAUCAGUUUGAGUUAUUUAUUGAAAAUCUACUAGUUAAAGGGCCUGUUGUAGUAGCUUUCGAUGUCUUUCCAAGCUACGAGAGACAAGUAAGUGUAUUGUUAAUUAUUCUCUUACAUAGCUGUUAUAAAUGUUAUAAAAUUUAUCUUGAUAUGUUGUGUAAUAAGAAUACAACUGAAUUUCAGGGAAUUUUUAGUCUAACAGAUGUCGAGUAUGAGAUGCGUCUCUACCAGAGGUUUACCAAGCACUGUGUGGUUCUCUACGGAAAAUGUGUAGAAGUGAAAAACCAAAAGAUCAAAUAAUUCUGGGAGGCACUCGAAUCUCGUGAGGAUAAAUUUGGGGAUGCCAGAUUCGUUUUCUUGGCUCGAGAAAAAUGUCUCAUCAGAUAAGUGGUCGAGUUGAAGAUAAACUUCUCACUCUUUCCAUUUAAACUAUAAUAUUGUGUAUUAAUUUCAAAAUCUGAGUCUUGAUGAUUGUAACAAAUGGAAGGUAUGUGUGUAAUUUUCAGUUGUCAUUUUUUCAAAUGAAAUUUGAUAUAUGGUGUUUAAUUGUUUGGGUAAAAUGUUUAAGUGGUUUCAAACUUUUUUUAAUGUUAUCAGAUCCAUAACGCCAGCUUUACAUAAUUUUCUUUGACAUGGAGAGCAAAGAGGUAAUACUAUUGUUUAGAUUAUGUUUACCACUUUUUGUUAUGAUUGUUUAUGUUUUAAUACUUUUGUUAUGAUUGUUUAUGUUUUAAUACUAUUGUUUAUUAUUGUUUUAAUACUUUGUUGUGAUUUUUUAUAAUUGAUUAUGAUAGUUUAUAUUUUACUAUUUUUGUUUAUGAUUGUAUAUGAUUGUUUAUGAUUAUUUUGAUACUUUUGUUAUGAUUUUUUAUGUUUUAAUAUUUUUGUUUGGUUGUUUAUGAUUGUUUAGGUUUGCUCUAAAUAUAAAUAUUUGUUCUGAUUGUUUAUGAUUGUUUAUUUUUAAAUAGUUUUGUUAUGAAUGUUUAUUUUUAAUAAUUUUGUUAGGAUUUUUUAUGUUUUAAUAUUUUUGUUAUGAUUGUUUAUGACCAAUCAAAACAUUUAGAUAAUGUUUAAUACUUUUGUUAUGAUUGUUUAUGACCAAUUAUAAGAUUUAGAUAAUGUUUUAUAUUUUUGUUAUGAUUGUUUAUGUUUUAAUCUGAUGAUGAUGAUUAUUAUAUUAUUUACUAGUUCUUAUAGAUAAUUUUUGGAUUAUAGUUCUCGAAAAAUGUCAAUCUGCAUUGGUCAAAAUAAAUGGAUCUCAAAGAACACUUCUAGAUGCUGAUGAUUUAAUGGAAGAAGUCCUUGUUCAAUAUCAAUCAAAAACUUGCGAUGCAGAUUGUCUAGAAGAUGUUAGUUCUUUUAUGGUUAGACAAUAUGUACGGCAAAUGACCGUUCACCACAUGCCACGAAGAUAUGAUCAAGAUGUUCAAAACGAGUUUGAGAAGCUAAUUGAAAAACUAUUAGUCAACAGACAUUCUAGUAGUAGCGUCUGAUGUUUUUCCAAGCUACAAUGAAGAAUUUUGGGACAAGUAACUGUAUUUUCAUAGACAAAACUAUAAUUAUUCUCUUACAUAGCUCUGAUUAAUGUUAUAUAAUUUAUCUUAAUAUCUUGUGUAGAAACAAUACAAAUGAAUUUCAGGGAAUGUUCAAUCCAACAGAGGUCAAAUGUCAAAUGCGUGCUUAUCAGAGAUUUUCGAGACAUUGUGUGGUUUUGUACGGGAAAUGUGUACAAGUGCAUGUUUCAGCGAUCCGUGAAUCAUGGGAGGCACUUGAAAGCCGUGAGAAAGGUUUUAGAGAUGAAUGUUUCGUUCGAUUGGUUCGGCACAAAUGUCUAAUCAGAAAAGUUGUGGAGUUGAAAGUAUGAUCAAGAAGAUCUCAUCAAUGGCAUGACAUCAUUCUCUAUCCAAGAUUUUAUUAUUUAUCCAAGACUUCAUUAUCUAUCGUUAUUUAUGUUGACUUUCUUAAUUUAUCUAUCACUUCUUGUCUAUAUUGACUUUUUUAAUGUAUCUGUCACUUUAGUUAAUUUUAAUUGACUGUUAAGUAAAUAAUUAUUCUCUUAUUUUGUAGUAUUUGGUCACAACAAUUUGUAAGUUUUUCUUAACCAAACUACUAACGCUUUUCCCAUUGGUAAAGCUUUUACAGCAUCUUUCUAGAGAAUUCGGAAAAUAUAUUCCUUUGCCAAUUAGAAUCCGUCUCAUGUAUAAGUAGAGAAUUCAGUUUCUAGUGAUUAUACUAUGAACCUAUUGAUUUGAUUCAUAUAGAUUUGGGGAGGGGACUCACACUGUAGAUCAGAAACUCAUACUAAUCAAGCGAUUGAUUCACCAUUUUUCUAGUUUUAUCUCGAUAUCAAUCAGAAACUCACACUGUAGAUCGUCUAGAAGAUUUAAGUCAUUUUGGAAAAUACGUGAAGAGUUUUGAUACGUGGAAUUCAUAUACGAACAACACUUGUUGUUGAGAGUUUUGAUGAGAGCAGAUGUUAAACUAUCAUCUUUUGGUGUUAAGUAGAGGUUGUUUAUGUGAUGAGAUAGUUGGUGAAGGUCACACACACAAGUUUCAUUGUUUUGUUAAGAGCUACAAAGAUGAAUGUAUCAUGAAGUUAAGAGAUGUUGGUUUACACUUAUAUUGUUCUACGGAUCAGUGUCCCGACCUCCAGAUUUCAAGCUACCACUUCCUUGGACACAACACCACGAAUUGGAGCAGCUAAGUACUUAUCCCAUGGGUAACUUCAACUGGAAGAUUGAGCAAGUUGCAUAUGUUUCUUGGACUUUGAACAAUAUUAUGGUUGCAGAGAAGAGGAAAACAACAUCACAUGGCGGUUUGAAUUACAUUGAAGGUUACUGACACAGCUAGGACAUCCACCGAAGGGACAUUUCAUCUUGUAAGCUUGUGCUUGUUGUUUCCACUCUGAUGCAUUGGACGAAAUUCAUGAGCUGAUGGUGAAACAGAACUUGCCUCAAGUCUAAAUGUUAGUCUAUCCUUUUGAUACAUCUUUUUCAAAGGCUGUUUGCCUUGCCAUUAUGGUUGGAUAUGAAAUAACUAAAAUUGAAUAUUUUUAAUUUUAUCCUGUUUGGUUUUUUUGUAAUAUAAUCAAAUUAGGUUCGGUUCUGAGUUUAUAUAAAAGAAUACUUGGUUCAAUUUCAGCUUAAUUCGAUUUGGUUUGAGAUUACUUUUGGAGUAACCAAAUAUUGUGUUGGAGAACCACAAAUACAAAAGGACACAAACUAUUUAGAGAAAACAUUCCAUUUCCAUAUCCAACAAAAAUAAUCUCAUGAAAGAAAAAGAAUGAUUAGAAAAACCACGAACAUACGUAAAAGUAAUACAAAUUCCGGAGUUUACUUACAACAUGCACACACACACCUAUAAGUAAAAAUAGUAUACAGUACAUAUGAUAACAUAUAUUUAAGCAAUGACAGUACAUAUUUGAUGUUUGUCUGACAUAUAAAUUGUAUAACCUACCUGACUCAGAGCGCUGCUUGGUGCACUCAUCAUCAAACAAGAACCAAC